rnacentral:rRNA from 1 species
UACGAAGGGGGCUAGCGUUGCUCGGAUUGACUGGGCGUAAAGGGCGCGUAGGCGGCUUGUACAGUCAGACGUGAAAUUCCUGGGCUCAACCUGGGGGCUGCGUUUGAUACGUAUGGGCUUGAGUUCGGAAGAGGGUCGUGGAAUUCCCAGUGUAGUGGUGAAAUACGUAGAGAUUGGGAAGAACACCAGUGGCGAAGGCGGCUAUCUGGACGGUUUCUGACGCUAAGACGCGAAAGCGUGGGGAGCAAACAGG